UCAGAUUGAACGCUGGCGGUAUGCCUAACACAUGCAAGUCGAACGAGGUAGCAAUACCUAGUGGCGGACGGGUGAGGAAUACGUAGGGAUCUGCCUUUAAGUGGGGGAUAACCCGGGGAAACCCGGAUUAAUACCGCAUGAUCUCGCAAGAGCAAAGAGGGGGACCGCAAGGCCUCUCGCUUUUAGAGGAACCUACGUCGGAUUAGCUAGUUGGUGAGGUAAUGGCUCACCAAGGCGACGAUCCGUAACUGGUCUGAGAGGAUGAUCAGUCACACCGGAACUGAGACACGGUCCGGACUCCUACGGGAGGCAGCAGUGGGGAAUAUUGGACAAUGGGCGAAAGCCUGAUCCAGCAAUACCGCGUGUGUGAAGAAGGCCUUCGGGUUGUAAAGCACUUUAAGUUGGGAAGAAAAAGCUUCACCUAAUACGUGGAGCCUUGACGGUACCGACAGAAUAAGCACCGGCUAACUCUGUGCCAGCAGCCGCGGUAAUACAGAGGGUGCUAGCGUUAAUCGGAUUUACUGGGCGUAAAGCGUGCGUAGGCGGUUUAAUAAGUCGAUUGUGAAAGCCCCGGGCUCAACCUGGGAAUUGCGGUCGAUACUGUCAGACUCGAAAACGGUAGAGGGAGGCGGAACUCCAGGUGUAGCGGUGAAAUGCGUAGAUAUCUGGAAGAACACCGAUGGCGAAGGCAACCUCCUGGGCCUGUUUUGACGCUGAGGCACGAAAGCGUGGGUAGCAAACAGGAUUAGAUACCCUGGUAGUCCACGCCGUAAACGAUGAGAACUUGACGUUGGUUUGCUUAGCAAAUC
rnacentral:rRNA from 1 species